ensembl:lncRNA
UAGGAUGUUAUUGCAGAACUGUUUAUUGAUGGCUUAGAAAUUUUUUUGAGCUUUGAUUUGGAAUCCAGUGUUAUACUGAGUUUCAAAUCACAAAGAAUUAGUAGUAUUCCACUAUUUUAUCCCAAGAAACCAUAAUCCAACUCUUUUUUAGUCUAUGAAUGUGGCCUAGCUCUUAAGUAUUCUUGGUUAGAGAAUUUAAAGAAAGAUUGAGACAGUCUAAGUUGCUAAGUUGGACCCUCUGGGUGGAAGCACAGGUAGAGCCUUAGAAUCACUGCAGAAAAGACCUGCACAUUCUUUCCCACCAUCUUUUACCCUGAUGCUCAAUUUCUUCCUGAAAUCUAAACGGUUGAUCAAGACACGUUAAAUAGUAGUUUGGACCAAGAUCCUUGGUGCUGAUUUGGCACUAGGCCAGCUUCUUGUAUUAAGGCAUUGAUGUGACAUUUAUUUGGAUCCUUAGUGAUGGCAUUAGGUAAUUUUACUUGUUAACCUUGAUUACUAUUUAAUUGUUGCUUGAUAAGGCUAGUGUUUGGUAGGACCAAAUUAUUGAUAGAUCUUUUUUCAACUAUUAGGUAAACUUUGAGAAUAGUGUUUGUUUAGUUGUCAACUUCAGGAUUACAAAUGUCUGCUCCAGGUAAUUAGCACUAAAAUAAUGUCAGCUCUCCUCAAACUGAGCUCCUGUACAGUACUGACUUAAAUUGAUGAAGCAACUUCUUAUAAGGUUUGAAAGAACUGUGAUUAUUAGGUAAUUUGGCUUGCCAAGAUUAGUGUUAGGUAUAGAACCUCCUUAAAUACGAUCCCUUAGGGAUGUAACCAUUUAAAGAUUAUACAGUUUCACUGCCACCAACCACCUUUUUAUUACUCUUUGUGCAGAAAGUAAACUUACUUUAUAACCUUUGAGAGAAGCUCAGUUUUGGAAACCUUUUAUACUUUUCACUUUGCCAAAGUGUUUGCUAAAUACAGCUGACCUGUAGCACAUAAUUAAGUAAUUAUUUACUAAUAACAAUAAAUUUCUUUGAUAAUUUUCAUGUAGUAAACCUCUAUUUCAGUUUAUUUUUAGUGUACAGCGCUAAAACAACUUAGCAGCUUUACAAGUUUCCAGAAUUACAUUGUGCUCCGUCCUUUUUCCAUAUGUCUUCUGUAUAGGAUUUUGUUUUGCUUUGUUUUUUGAGGCAAUUGGAGUUAAGUGACUUGCUCAGAGUCACACAGCUAGUAAGUGUUAAAUGUCUGAGGCCAGAUUUGAAUUUAGGUCCUCCUGAAUUCAGGGGUAGUCUCUAUCCACUUCAUCAUCUAGCUACCUCUGUACAGCAGUUCUUAAAUGCAUGAUUGUGAUUGUGAAGGUACAAGGGAAGAAUAAGAUGUUUAGUACCAUAUUGCCGAAGCUUUGACUCAGAGCUAACACUUUCUGCAUAUAGCACAUCAAUAAUUAUAUUCUCUUCUUUAUACACAGCAGUCAUUGAUAUAUAAUGAAAAGAAAGGAAUAGUAGUUCAUGAAAGUGAGGGAGCGGAGCCAGACCAUCUGUUUUUAAAAUAUGACCCAGGAUCAAAAUUAUUUUCAUGAUAAUACUAAAUUUUAAUUUCCAGUAUGGUGAAUAUUGAUAGAUAUAACCCAUCUAAACAAAAUCUCUUUGGAAGUGAAUGUGCUUAAUAAUUUUUAAGACUAUAAAGUGGUCUUGAGAUUAAAAAGUUUGAGAAGCACUGGUUUAGACAAUAUGGAGUCACUCUGAGAUAUAUACACAUAUAUAUGAAUGACUAUAUAUAGUCACUGAUAUAUGUUUAUGUAUAUAAAUAAAUCUAUAUUAUACCCACAUAUGAGUGACUAGUCAUCAUGUUUGUGUGUAUAUAUAAAUAUUGCUUAUAUAUAUAUAUAUAUAUAUAUAUAUAUAUAUAUAUAUAAAUACACACACACACACACACACACACACACAAAUUUGUGUACCAUUCAAGAAGCCAUAAUUGAAAUAUAUGUUAGAUGGUUUGUGCAACUAGCUGCAGAUUAUUUUAGAUCAGAUACACUGAUACUGACAAACUUCAAAUGUGUGAAGAUUUAUUCAACUUAGAGGGUUGUAACAUCAGAAUGAAUACCGGUGAAUAGGGACAGGAUGAGAUUUUCACCCACCCCAGAGUUCAGAAUAACCACAUGGCCCCUGCAAGGAAAGCUCCUCUCUGUUCUGCUCCUCCCUCUUCCCAAGGGUAGUUGCUUUGGCAGAAAGCCAGAUUACUAGGAAUAAGCUGCAGCUGGGGACAGAAAUUAGGAGCUGUACCUUAAAAUUGAGGACAUCUGGUAGCUUUACCAAUCAAAAUAUCUGUUUGUAUGUGCACAUACAUGUUCAUGUUAAGAGAGUCUUCCAGAGUCUUCAUCUUCAUCCCUUAGUAGAUUGUUAGAGGCAUUCAAAGCCAGGAUCAGUUUGAUGUCAUUAUUCCUCUGUUUUUUAUAUUCAGCUAAUUUUCCUUUAAAAGUGCUUCCUGGAAAGCUCUGACCUUGAAGAUGCAUGAUGGUGGUUGGGGAAAAUAAUUCCAAUGAUUUUAAGAGCUUAAAAACAGAAUUUAAAUUUAGUGCUAUAUUCAGAACCCUCAAUGGAAAUUAAAUUCUUGGUUUUCAUCAGAAAGACAUGACUCUUGAGAACUAUUAAAUCAUAAUUUAUUUUCUGUUGUUUAUUCACCUGGCAUCUGCAAAUUUAAAAGUUAAUUUUAAACACGCUCUGUCCUAGGAUUGCUGUGAAAACAACUCUAGAACUUUAGUGUAAUUGUCUCAUAGUGAGAAAACUUUAGAGAUCUUUAGCACUUAACUUUAAAUAUUUAAACAAGCCUCAUAGAAAUUAAAUGACUUGCCCAAGAUCAUAUACAUAGUUGGUAGCCAAACCAGAAAUAGAUCUCAGUUCUUCUUUCUUCUACUCUGUCUAGUGUACUUCCUCUUGUUACAAAUUCCCACUCUGGGAAAUUGUGUUCCAAUGAAGUUCUGUAUGCUUAUUUCAAUUUUAUUUUGUAAAAUAAGUUUAAAUGGCUAGAUUUUGCCAUAAGCCAUUAAUCUUAUUUAACAGUAAAUAUUAUCUAAAGUCUAAUUAUUAUUGUAUUGUUAAUGUUGAACUUUAAUGUUCUUAUUGAGAUUGCUAAUUAACUGAAACAAUUGUAUCUGACAGUUUUUUAUUUGUUAGCUUUCUCUUUCUGGCAUAGGAAAGCAUAUAUACUAUUAUAAUUUUUUUCCUGUUUGAUUGCUUUAACUGUUGCUAUUCUUAAGAUAAUUUUGAAAAUGUUAUUAUAGUUACUUAAAUUUAGAA